rnacentral:rRNA from 1 species
UACGUAUGGUGCGAGCGUUAAUCGGAAUUACUGGGCGUAAAGCGUGCGUAGGCGGUUCUUCAAGUCCGUUGUGAAAGCCCCGGGCUCAACCUGGGAAUGGCAGUGGAAACUAGGGGACUUGAAUGUGGCAGAGGGGGGUGGAAUUCCACGUGUAGCAGUGAAAUGCGUAGAGAUGAGGAGGAACACCGAUGGCGAAGGCAGCCCCCUGGGCUGAGAUUGACGCUGAGGCACGAAAGCGUGGGGAGCAAACAGG